rnacentral:rRNA from 1 species
GACGAACGCUGGCGGCGUGCUUAACACAUGCAAGUCGAACGGAAAGGCCCUGCUUUUGUUGGGUGCUCGAGUGGCGAACGGGUGAGUAACACGUGAGUAACCUGCCCUUGACUUUGGGAUAACUUCAGGAAACUGGGGCUAAUACCGGAUAGGAUCUCCUGCUGCAUUGUGGGGGUUGGAAAGUUUCGGCGGUUGGGGAUGGGCUCGGGGGUUAUCAGGUUGUUGGUGGGGUAGUGGCUUACCAAGGCUUUGACGGGUAGCCGGCCUGAGCGGGUGACCGGCAACAUUGGGACUGAGAUAGGGCCCAGAAUCCUAGGGGAGGCAGCAGUGGGGAAUAUUGUAAAACGGGGGGAAGCCUGAUGCAGCAACGCCGCGUGCGGGAUGAAGGCCUUCGGGUUGUAAACCGCUUUCGCCUGUGACGAAGCGUGAGUGACGGUAAUGGGUAAAGAAGCACCGGCUAACUACGUG